GUAGACAUAGUUUAAUAAAAACAUUAGAUUGUGAAUCUAAUGAUAGAGACUCAAGCUUUCUUGUCUACC
rnacentral:tRNA from 1 species